ACACGACUACAUUAGAUACCCCCGUAGUCCUAGCCGUAAACGAUACUCGCUAGGUGUCGGCCACGGUGCGACCGUUGUCGGUGCCGUAAGGAGGCCGUGAAGCGAGCCACCUGGGAAGUACGGCCGCAAGGCUGAAACUUAAAGGAAUUGGCGGGGAGCACCACAACGGGUGGAGCUUGCGGUUUAAUUGGAUUCAACGCCGGAAAUCUUACCGGGACCGACAGCAAUAUGAAGGCCAGGCUGAAGACUUUGCCGGAUUAGCUG
rnacentral:rRNA from 1 species